rnacentral:rRNA from 1 species
UACGAAGGGGGCUAGCGUUGCUCGGAUUUACUGGGCGUAAAGGGCGCGUAGGCGGUUCGUACAGUCAGACGUGAAAUUCCUGGGCUCAACCUGGGGGCUGCGUUUGAUACGUGCGGACUUGAGUGCGGAAGAGGGUCGUGGAAUCCCCAGUGUAGAGGUGAAAUUCGUAGAUAUUGGGAAGAACACCGGUGGCGAAGGCGGCGACCUGGUCCGAUACUGACGCUGAGGCGCGAAAGCGUGGGGAGCAAACAGG